AUAAGGAAACUUCGCUCGAGCUCCUACGGGAGCCAUACUUCAGUCUUGAGCUCCUAUUGCAGGUAGACCUCAUCCGAACUCUUACAAGGGCUGGGCUCCGAGCCCCCACUGCAAGCGAUCUACUCCGAGCUACCACUACAACUGGUCUACUUCGAAUUUCUACUACGAGCAGUCCACAUCAGAUUUCUACUGUAAGCCUCCACCUG
rnacentral:lncRNA from 1 species